rnacentral:ncRNA from 2 species
UUCAAUCAUUUGGGGUGCCAUGUGCUGAGAUAAACCCACUGAACCUGUCAAGUUAGGGCUUGCGUAGGGAAAUGAUCGGAACGUAGC